rnacentral:lncRNA from 1 species
UGAUUUAGUUUCACGGUAUGACUUACAUCACUUUCUUUUAUCCAUAUUUCUUCAAUAUUUUCCUCCUACUCGGAGGCUAUCUUCUCAUUCUUGACUGACCACAUAAGUGCUUACUCUCAAGGUCUACAACUUUCUGCAUGCUUUUCUUUUUACACUCUGCUUUAAAUUUCUAAACUUUGGACUUAUUGAUGGCUUGGGAAAAUCAAUGAGAAUGUGCCAAGAGGUAAAGGGAGGUUUACACUCCUCCA